CUCAGCCACACUCCAGGACCAUGGUCUCCCUUUAAGAGGCCACUGGACAUCGUAGAGCUCUCAGCAUCAAAGGUCAUGGUCCUCUCCAGCAGACCCCCCUCACUGCCACCAAGCCCUAAAUUCAAACAGGAUGAGCAACCAACUCGGCUUGCUGUGAUUUCACGAAGCUCUUGGUCCACAGAGGAAAUCCCUACCUGACCCGUCGAUCAGCCCGAAACUUCAACAUCUUUUUUGGAAGCUCAGUCCCCAGUUCGGCAGCCUCGGAGGAGCCACCAGCCACCCUGCUGCUACCAUCCCUCUGAGAAGUAAGUCCUUGGAUCCAGUUCUCAAUGCUGUGGCAGAGACGCAGGGUGAGCUGGGGCAGACUCCAUGGGCUGCCCUUUCUUCCUGGCUCUAGCACUGGAGAACAGGGACAGGGCUCUCUCUGGGCAAUAGGAGGGGUAGCCCAGGUGCCCUAGGGGGCCUGUGGCUUUAACAUCCUAGCAUUCGCCUGUGAUGCUACAGUUAGAGGUCUGGAGGCAGAAUAAACGAAGAGAGGACCUCCUCCCAGCUCAGGUUCACAAGACAGAAAUGCAGAACUGGAGAGCAGGUGUACCGCUUCCAGGUAGUCCGACCUCACUGAGCUAAGGACACUGAGCAGCUGGGCGAGCGGAGGAACACGGGCUGCAUUCCCAUCUGCACGGAGACUCGUGCCAGCCUGACCUGCAGAGAGAAAGUGCUCCAGCCUCUCCAGCUUCCAGCCCAGACACGGGCUCUGGAGCUGCAAACCUACUUGCUUCUCAGAGACCUUCCAAGCCCUUCUGAGGGUUAAAGGAAGCUUCAGGUUCAUUGGCUGUUACUGUUGCUGUGAAGCUGAAGAGAAGUGAAGAAGUCUCCGUUCUCUUCUCUCAGCCUGCCCAGCUCUCAUCUAUACAGACUGGAGCAUAGUACACGAAGCGGCUCUGCAAUCGACCUGACCCACUCGCCUCUCCAGCAGCAUGGCUUGAUUGCCCUCCAAACGUGCUGGUCAGAAGCUGGACACACACAACCCAAGUGGAUGGUCGGGAUGUUAGUGGAGUCCCAGACGAAGUGGAAGAAAACCUUCCUCCCAAGGCUGGGAGUCACAGCUGUGUGACAACUGUAUAAUCCUCCUCCCUCUCCAGCCCGCACCGUGGAGGCAGCAGGAGAAAGAGCAACGAGAGGACAAAGGAUUGUGGCUGGACAUUUGCUUCCUGAAACAAGGGUUAACCUGGGACCCCUAAAUCUUUCUCCUUCCCCCCCCCCCCCAGGAUAACCUGACAGUUGGCACAGAAGAAAAAGGAAAUCAAGACACCAUCCUGGACCAACGCAUCAGUCAAUCAUCUAUCUGCCUUCACCCCGAAACACCUCUGAUCCCCACACAGGAGCCAGGUCACGUGAUCCGCCUCUGCUCCCCUAAGGAAGCUAGAGAGCUGGAGGUGGCCCAGGAUGGAAGUGGAGCCAGCAUGGUGUCAGUUAUGCAGCGUGAAAUUCCCUUCAUAUGCUCCAUCUACAAGCUAACUCUUGCGUUUGUUUGCACUGCGUUGAAUUUGCAUUAGUCUUGAGGUUUCGGGCUCUAGAGCAGGCCCACUCCUGAUCCUAGCUCCUCCAGUUUCUGCCUACAGAAUUCUGGGUGAGUGACUGCACCUCUCUCUGUCUUCUUUCUCUCGGCUGUACAAAGGAGAUAAUGCCAGGAUGUGGGUUUGCUAUGGGAUUAGAGGAGAUUACACCAAUGGAGAACAGAAGACAACUGCCAGCAUUUAAUAAA